GAUGAAGAACGUAGCGAAGUGCGAUAUGUAAUGUGAAUUGCAGAAUUCCGUGAAUCAUCGAAUCUUUGAACGCAAAUUGCACUCUUUGGUAUUCCGAAGACUAUGCCUGUUUGAGGGUCAGUCAAAUAAAAAUCGGGGUUGUUGCUGCUGCCUUCGGUGGUGACGCUCCGGAACUGGGUCGUCUUUGCCUUCGGUUAAGUGACCUAAAAUUUCGGAUGAUUUUUCGAACGUAUUUAAUUUUUUUUACGUACGUUUGUAUAUCAAACAUUAGAUGCGGUCAUUUCCAUGAUUCGCGUCUAUAAUUUUCAUCAAAUGACCUCAAAUCAGGUAAGAGUACCCGCUGAACUUAAGCAUAUCAAUAAGCGGAGGA
rnacentral:misc_RNA from 1 species